AGCGUAGACGGAUGGACAAGUCUGAUGUGAAAGGCUGGGGCUCAACCCCGGGACUGCAUUGGAAACUGCCCGUCUUGAGUGCCGGAGAGGUAAGCGGAAUUCCUAGUGUAGCGGUGAAAUUCGUAGAUAUUCGGAGGAACACCAGUGGCGAAGGCGGCUUACUGGUCCAUUACUGACGCUGAGGUGCGAAAGCGUGGGGAGCAAACA
rnacentral:rRNA from 1 species